rnacentral:rRNA from 1 species
GACGAACGCUGGCGGCGUGCUUAACACAUGCAAGUCGAACGCUGAAGCUUGGUGCUUGCACUGGGUGGAUGAGUGGCGAACGGGUGAGUAAUACGUGAGUAACCUGCCCUUGACUCUGGGAUAAGCCUGGGAAACUGGGUCUAAUACUGGAUACGACAUGUCACCGCAUGGUGGUGUGUGGAAAGGGUUUUAGUGGUUUUAGAUGGGCUCACGGCCUAUCAGCUUGCUGGUGGGGUAAUGGCUCACCAAGGCGAAGACGGGUAGCCGGCCUGAGAGGGUGACCGGCCACACUAGGACUGAGGGACGGCCCAGACGCGUACGGGAGGCAGCAGUGGAGAGUAUUGCACAGUGGGCGGGAGCCUGAUGCAGCGGCGCCGCGUGAGGGAUGACGGCCUUCGGGUUGUGAACCUCUUUCAGCACGGAAGAAGCGAAAGUGACGGUACGUACAGAAAAAGCGCCGGCUAACUACGUG